UACGUAGGGUGCAAGCGUUUGUCCGGAAUUAUUGGGCGUAAAGAGCUCGUAGGCGGUCUGUCGCGUCGGUCGUGAAAACUUGGGGGCUUAACCCUGAGCUUGCGGUCGAUACGGGCAUUGACUGGGAGUUCGGCAGGGGAGACUGGAAUCCUGGUGAUAGCGGUGAAAAUGCGCAGAUAUCAGGAGGAACACCGGUGGCGAAGGCGGGUCUCUGGGGCCGAUAACUGACG
rnacentral:rRNA from 1 species